GACGAACGCUGGCGGCGGGCUUAACACAUGCAAGUCGAGCGGAAAGGGCCUGCUUUUGUGUGGUUCUCGCGUGGCGAGCGUGUGUGUAACCCGUGAGUAUCCUUCCCAUUACUUUAUGAUAUCUUCAGGCGACUGCUGCUACUACCUGCUACCAGCUCCUGCUGCAUGGUGGUCUUUGGACCUUUUCGGCGGUUGGGGAUGUACUCGCGGCUUAUCAGCUUGUUGGUGGGGUAGUGGCUUACCAAGGCAUUGACGGGUAGCCGGCCUGAGAGGGUGACCGGCCACAUUGGGACUGAGAGAGGGCCCAGAGGCCGAAGGGAGGAAGAAGUGGGGAAUAUUGAACAAGGGGCGGAAGCCUGAUGAAGAAACUCCGCGUGAGGGAUGACGGCCUUAGGGUUGGAAACCGCUUUCGCCUGUGAAGAAGCGUGAGUGAAGGUAAUGAGUAAAGAAGCACCGGCUAACUACGUG
rnacentral:rRNA from 1 species